AUAUGGUGGCAUACUCAUUAGCACUAUAUAAAUCUCUAAAGAACAUUGUAUAUGGACAAGGAUGAACACUACAAUGAGCUUUUCUCUCAAACUCACGUUUUGUUUGGUUUUUGUCGUCAUUGCUUCAGAAUCUGAAGCGAGAGAAGGAGGCGUUGUACGUUUGUGUCCUAGACUUUGCUUUGUCGAUGAGAGUGCAUGUGUUAACAACUUCUGUAUAUGUAAAGAGGAACACGUUGGCUCAUUACGAGCGUGUUGCGACAAUUGUGUUGGUUCAUUGUGUUAUUGUCCACCCAAGUGUGAUUGUUCACAAUCCAAAGUUCUUAUAAACACUUUUAUUGCUAGUCAAAGUCAUUUAUCACAAAUUGUAAACUGAGUAUUAGGCAUAUGAUGUUGUAUUGAGAUCAAUUCAUUAAUAAUAAUUUUUAUUGAAAUGCUUGAUUGAUACAA